rnacentral:rRNA from 1 species
AUGGCCCCCAAGCGCGCCGCCCCACGCAAGCCUCCCGCAACCCCACGCAAGCGCCCCGCCACAGCAGAUCCCGCCUCCAGUUCGGAAGAAGACUCGAGCGGUUCCUCUACCUCCCACGACCAAGAGGUGGCAGACGAGGAAAUGGGGGAAUCGGAAUCGGAGGAGCCGGCAGAGGAUGGGGGCGAGGGGGAGGGGGAGGAAUCGACGGAGGAUGGAGGCGAGUGGGAGGCAGAGCCUGGUCUGCAGCCCGCGGCCAAGAAUCCACCUCAAUCAAACAAGUUGCCUGCUCGCAAGAGGGGAAAGACGCCGGCGCGGGCACCAGUGCAUCAAAAUGGCGAGAAGAAGAAGCCGCAACAUAUCGGAUCGGCAGAACCCAAACAAAGGAAAAGCAGGCGCAUAUGGUCUCCCAACGACGAGGUCCUGAUUCUGGAGGAGCUUGCCGAGCACCGCCGCCAGCAUGGGAAGGUGCCGGCGUGGGGGGACUACGCCUUCUUUGAAUCUGUUGCCAAGCGCCUUGAGGACAGCAGCUGCCAUUACUUUGUUGUCAAGGAGAAAGUUCGCACCCUGCUGCGUCGCUAG